GUGCUCACUUGGGCAGCACAUACACUGAACAAAGUUGGAAUGAUAUAGAGAAAGAAUUAGCAUGGCCCCUGCGAGAAGGAUGACAUGCAAACUCAUGAGACGUUCCCGUAUUUU
rnacentral:snRNA from 1 species